rnacentral:rRNA from 1 species
GUCUACGGCCAUACCACCCUGAACGUGCCCGAUCUCGUCUGAUCUCGGAAGCUAAGCAGGGUCGGGUCUGGUUAGUACUUGGAUGGGAGAAUAGGCAAACACAUAUAUCCUAUAUG